rnacentral:lncRNA from 12 species
ACCAAGAUGUCUGAGGGCGAGCGGCCAUUCGAAAACGCACAGGACGACGGCGAUGAUGACGGAGAUGAUGUGCUUAGCAUGGAGGAGGAGCUGUGCUUAAGGCUCGACACUAUGAGGGACUUUUUCCUCCAGCAGCUGAAGGCCAUAAAAGACUCGCUGUUUUCAUCUCAGACCAAGGUGCACAAGGAUUUAAAAGCCUUCAAGGAGUCCAUCUUGACGGAGGAGCUGAAUUUCUACAGAGAGAGGCUAGAGGCAAAGGUAACAUCUGACUUCCAGCUGCUGGAGGAAAACUGCAAUUCUGCUAAACGUGGUGUUGUUGAAAUGGUGAAGGCCGUUGGGGAAUCUGUGACCAAGAGGAUGGACGCGGUGGACAGGAUACUCGACACGCUGGCUUCGAGGAUCACUGCAAUGGAAGCGGAGGUCCACAACACGGUGCCUUCUUUUGAAGCGAGCACGCCGACACGCCGUGCUCAUGGCCUUUUGAGCAGAGCUGAAGCACUUUCCUCCACCCAGGUGACAGAUGUGGGACAAGACACGGAGAUCUUCCUGGACCUUCAGAGUGUGGCUUCUUCAUCUCCGAUCAGCCCUGGUCAGCGUGCGGUGUUGACCACAGCAACGUCCUUUGAAUCCAGCUCUGACCAGAACCCAGAACGAGAUGAAGCACUUUCCUCCACCCAGGUUUUGGAUGUGGGACGCGACAUGGAGAUCUCCCUGGACCUUCAGAGUUUACCUCUCACCCAGACCGGUUCCUCGGGACUUCAGAGACAGCCCCCCGCUAUGCACAAGCGCAAGCUGUCCCAGUCUCCAGACGAUCUGGAACCUGAACUUUCUGCCAAAAUAAGGCCCUACAUGAGACUGAGGCACACACGACAGGAGAAACUUACAGGAUUCCAGGCUGCAUUCUUCAAUCUCCAAAUGGACAGGCUGAACAUUACUGACACCAAGAGCCUCGCAGACAAGGCAGAAGUCAUAAAAGGAGCUGGUGAGAGACACGGAGUCUGGCUGGAACCCUCGGGGAUCAAGGAUCUUCAGCCGUACAUCGGAGAGAGAAUCAAGACCACUUUGAAGAGAAGGAAACGAAUUGCGCAGGUUGUCGAUCAGGAAAAAAAAAAAAUUAAACCAAAGUUGCUAGUGUUCGAGCGUCAAAAACGUAACACCCUGACACUUUAG